CACUCCUACGGGAGGCAGCAGUGGGGAAUAUUGGACAAUGGGCGCAAGCCUGAUCCAGCCAUGCCGCGUGAGUGAUGAAGGCCCUAGGGUUGUAAAGCUCUUUUGUGCGGGAAGAUAAUGACGGUACCGCAAGAAUAAGCCCCGGCUAACUUCGUGCCAGCAGCCGCGGUAAUACGAAGGGGGCUAGCGUUGCUCGGAAUCACUGGGCGUAAAGGGUGCGUAGGCGGGUCUUUAAGUCAGGGGUGAAAUCCUGGAGCUCAACUCCAGAACUGCCUUUGAUACUGAAGAUCUUGAGUUCGGGAGAGGUGAGUGGAACUGCGAGUGUAGAGGUGAAAUUCGUAGAUAUUCGCAAGAACACCAGUGGCGAAGGCGGCUCACUGGCCCGAUACUGACGCUGAGGCACGAAAGCGUGGGGAGCAAACAGGAUUAGAAACCCCUGUAGUCCCAU
rnacentral:rRNA from 1 species